rnacentral:misc_RNA from 1 species
UUUAACAAGCCAAUGCCCUGAUAUUCAGCACUGUCAUUUAGUCUGUCAAUAAAGUCCGAGAUCUGGUCCCAGUCGAUGUCUGCAGUUGAGAUAUAACGAGGAUCUGAGGCAGCAUCCUCUCCUAUCCAUAGGUCUACAAGACUUGGCCUAGAUCCAGAGGUAGAAGGGUGAUCUGCAAUAUGAACCGCUGGAGAGUGGAAGAAAGUGAUCAAAGUUCCCAAAGCAAUGAUCACCAGCACAAUUUUCAGAGUAGUUAUCUUGCAGUUCAAAUUCCUAUGGAUGGGAACUUGCAGGGCCUUUUCAACAUCUCUAAGACCCUUAUCUCUAAAGGACUUUCUUCUGGAUGUCUCUUCUACUGAAGCAGAGAGUCGGUGCCUGGGCUCAACGAUACUAGGGGAGGAUCCUCUCAUCUUCUCGAGAAUCAGUAGCCACUUGAGGAAGGCAGCAUCUGUGUGGUAUUUACUUCAUUUUCAUAGGAAAAUGGAAACUGAAUUUUGGAAGGGAAACCGCUAUUCCAGGAGACGCGUUGCGAGAGAAGAAUCAAAGAUAAGUUGAUUUGGAAAUUGA